rnacentral:lncRNA from 1 species
GUUCGUUCGUUUGUUUGAUCGGUUCUUUGUCCUUGCCAUUAUCCAUUCGUGGGCCGUUCAUUUGCAAUCGCUAUGUCGCGUCGCCAGUAAAACUUUGAUGUUGGCAACUCUUCAACUAACACUACUGUCAUUCCCGAUUCUGUUUCAGUGUAUGUAUUACAAUAUCAUAGUAAGUACAUUUGGCUGAUCCGGUUUUAUGACAGUGCUAUCAGAAACUAAGGCCCUCAUAGUAUAAAAACAAAC